AAACAUUGAUUUUAUUUAAUCAAACCUUUUUUUCUUUCCACGGUCUUUAUUUAUAAUGACAAACACAUUGUACAAGUCGGAACAAACGCUUCUAACUAAUAAGACAGUACAUAUAAAGCCCAAAUAAAAGCCCAGUUACAGCUCAAGAACGUGUCAAACCAUUUGGGAUAAGCUAGGACACGUGUUGCUUCCAUAACCUUCACCGCAUGCAAGAGAUUUUAAAUCCGGUGUAUCGGAAUCAUCGCCGGAACAACUACUAACAAUGAAUCUUCUUUUUCCUCACCGAUGAUGACAAUAACGAGUUACAAGACCAAUCAAUCUUAUUUAAUCAAACCUAUCUUUAUAUAUAUGCAAUAAACAACCUAUGUAUAUUUUUUCUGCAUCAUUUUAAUUUUGGGAGAUUUUGAUAAUCCAGGUAGAGCAAAGCGGAUUAUGGAUUAUCACGUGAUAUCCGUGCGUAAUCAUCCCUACCUCUGCUAUGCUUUUGUAAAUAUUUUAAUAUUGAAAAUUAAUGUUGCGUCACCAUUUCUCAUAUAUUUUUAAAAUUAAGGUUUUUUUGAUAAACCUUAUCUCAUUAAUUUCUGACAAAUGUUUUUCUGAUAAUCCGAUCUUCGUGAUGUUGAAGAUAGUCAUGUGGGUUUUGCCCAUGCACGUCUCUCUCACUGCAGAUUUGAUCUGUGAAAUGACUAAUUGGGAAAUAAUACUCUGCUCAAGUUAUGUAGUCAAAGUGUUCGAUGAAAUGCCUCAUAGAAAGCUAAUGAGACAUAUUGUGGGAUUAUUGUUAAAGGAGCCGACUUUUGUCGAAAAUAUAUCAUCUUGG
rnacentral:lncRNA from 1 species